rnacentral:rRNA from 1 species
UACGUAGGGUCCUAGCGUUGUCCGGAUUUAUUGGGCGUAAAGAGCUCGUAGGCGGUUUGGUGAGUCGGGUGUGAAAUCUCCACGCUCAACGUGGAGGAGCCACCCGAUACUGCCAUGACUAGAGUCCGGUAGGGGAGUGUGGAAUUCCCGGUGUAGCGGUGAAAUGCGCAGAUAUCAGGAGGAACACCGGUGGCGAAGGCGGUUCUCUGGGCAUUACCUGACGCUGAGGAGCGAAAGUGUGGGGAGCGAACAGG